AACGUAGGACGCAAGCGUUAUCCGGAGUUACUGGGCGUAAAGCGCGGGCAGGCGGCUCGAUGCGUCUGAUGUGAAAUCUCCUCGCUCAACGGGGAGAGGCCAUUGGAAACGGUCGGGCUGGAGGGCAGUAGAGGCAGGCGGAAUUCCGGGGUGGAGUGGUGAAAUGCGUAGAGAUCCGGAGGAACACCAGAGGCGGAAGGCGGCCUG
rnacentral:rRNA from 1 species